GAUUACGGCCAUACCACACUGACAAUGCCCGAUCUCGUCUGAUCUCGGAAGCUAAGCAGAGUUGGGCUGGGUCAGUACUUGGAUGGGUAAGCGCCUGGGAAUAACUGGUGCAGGAGGCA
rnacentral:rRNA from 1 species